AUUGAACGCUGGCGGCAUGCCUUACACAUGCAAGUCGAACGGCAGCACGGGAGCAAUCCUGGUGGCGAGUGGCGAACGGGUGAGUAAAGUAUCGGAACGUGCCCAGUCGUGAGGGAUAACGUAGCGAAAGUUACGCCAAUACCGCAUACGAUCUAUGGAUGAAAGCGGGGGAUCGCAAGACCUCGCGCGAUUGGAGCGGCCGAUAUCAGAUUAGGUAGUUGGUGGGGUAAAGGCUCACCAAGCCGACGAUCUGUAGCUGGUCUGAGAGGACGACCAGCCACACUGGGACUGAGCCACGGCCCAGACUCCUACGGGAGGAAGCAGUGGGGAAUUUUGGACAAUGGGCGAAAGCCUGAUCCAGCCAUGCCGCGUGCAGGAUGAAGGCCUUCGGGUCGUAAACUGCUUUUGUACGGAACGAAAAGGUUUGGCCUAAUAAGCUGAGCUCAUGACGGUACCGUAAGAAUAAGCACCGGCUAACUACGUGCCAGCCGCCGCAGUAA
rnacentral:rRNA from 1 species